UUUUUUUUUUUUUCUUUUCUUUUUUUUUUUUUUGUUAGAAAGAAGACGUUUUUCUAUGAGAAACAAAGACAUAAAUAUAAGAGUUUUAGAGCAUACAAUCUACAUAGAUCUCAAUCAGUCUGACAACAACCCAUUGGUAGAUCUGGAUAAAAAAGUGAAGGCUUGGAUGGUGAUUUAUGGGACACAAAGGCGUUGAAUGAUGAAUUAGGGUUCUUCUUGUUCCUCUCUUUGAUUUGUUUUUCUAAUAUUUUAAUUCAAGAAACUGUUUUUUUUUUAGAAGAAGAAACUGUUUUCUUAAAUUAGCCAAAAUCCAUGUCAGCAUUAUUGAUAAAUAAAAACGUUGAGGUGGCUUAUGCCACAUCAUUUGGGAUUCAAAUUUUGUAAAAUAUUUUGGUGCCUCUAGCAUUACUCAAAAACUAAAUAGAAAUGAGUUUUUAAUUAUGUAGUUGUGAGGGAUUAAAUAUUUUUAAUUCAAAUUUAAAAAUGAUAUAAAAUGAAAUAAGAUGGUCGGUAGAAGGGUAAAUCUGGAAAAAAAAUAAAACUGAAUAAAAUUAUGGAAGUGGAAUGCCAAAUUUAGCUUACAAAAUUGCUUAGGUUAAGCUAAAUUUUUUGCCUUGAAAAUUGAAAUUUGGCUUAUAGUGGGAGUAACUAUAGACUAAAUUUGGUUUUUUAGUCUACCAUGAGAGAUGGUCUUACAGGUUUUACUACAUACAUGGCAUUCGAACUAUAAAUAGUUUCUUGUGAGUUUGUAUCACUUGUAUGAUUGAUACGAAUUACCUAGGUGUUACUACUAAUAACGGAAUUAUUAAUAGCACUAAAACACACAGGUAACGUAGGUCGAAGAAAAUAUAUUCCUCUCUUAUUAUUGUACAAAAGGGUACAAUGAUUAUUGUUUAAUGCCUUCUCUCACAAUAACACUCUAGCUCUCUCUGAGUCGCUCUCUUCUAAACAGAUGUUGUUUCUGUUUCACUCUGGUAUAAACAUAUGUUGUCUCUGUUUCACUCUGGUCUAAACAGAUGUUGUCUAUGUUUCACUCUUGUCUAAACAGAUGUUGUCUCUGUUUCACUCUGGUGUCUAGAACUAAGCUAGAAACCUCUAUUUAUAGAGUCUAAAUCUUUAUAAAUCCUUAUCUAACUUGGAGAACACUCCCUAACUAAGUUAGACAACUAAUCCCAAACUAAGUUGGAAAACUAUUCUCCUAACAAGCUAGAAAAGCUAUUUCCUUAACUAACUUGGAGAAGGAAUCGGCUAAUUCCUAAAAGCUAAAGGAUACACAUGUAUCAUGGCUCCCCCUUUUAGGAACUUAAACUCUCGUUUAAGUUAAAACUGAAGAAUAGGAAACUCAAGAGUUCCCUUUUCUUUGCUGAACCAUUUAGCCUUGCUUGGAACUUGACCGGCACGCCCAAUAAGAAACGAUGUCCGCUCCCCCUUACGUGUUGUAGUCACUUUACGCUCCAAAAUGCAAUCUUCAACUAACGGAUCCUCUCGGUUAAACCACAAGUCCUCAACUGAUGGUAAGACUGUCUUGUUGUCGCCAUCAUCAUCAAGUAACUGUGGUUCGAACAACUUCAAUAGCAACUGUUUGACGAGACCGGUCAAUUCUGCAAUUGCAGUGUUUGACGCAGCCAUCUGCUUCUCCAACGCAGCAAGUCUUUCUUUCUCUGGUGUUUCAUCACCCAUCUUCUUUCCUCUUGAUCUUGUGGUAUUUUCCAAAGACACAAGAGAUUUUCCUAGCUUUCUGUAAAGUGAACGAGUCAGGACCAUACACCACAAGACUCCCCACGGAUACGGUUAGCUCUGAUACCAACUUGAUACGAAUUAUCUAGGUGUUACUACUAAUAGCAGAAUUAUUAAUAGCACUAAAACACACAGGUAACGUAGGUCGAAGAAAAUAUAUUCCUCUCUUAUUAUUGUGCAAAAUGGUACAAUGAUUAUUGUCUAAUGCCUUCUCUCACAAUAACACUCUAGCUCUCUUUGAGUCGCUCUCUUCUAAACAGAUGUUGUUUCUGUUUCACUCUUGUAUAAACAGAUGUUGUCUCUGUUUCACUCUUGUCUAAACAGAUGUUGUCUCUGUUUCACUCUGGUGUCUAGAACUAAGCUAGGCACCUCUAUUUAUAGAGUCUAACUCUAUAAAUCCUUAUCUAACUUGGAAACUACUCAUUAACUAAGUUAGACAACUAUUCAUUUUCAACUAACUUGGAGAAGGAAUCACUAAUUCCAAAAAAGCUAAAGGAUACACCCGUAUCAAUGAUGGUGGCCAAGCACUCACAAAUUCUCUAAACGUACUACACUUAUGAAAUAGAACAAGAAUGCCAUACAUGAGCUUAAUUAAUAGUUUUUAUUUUCAGAUGGUAUGAGCAGUUGAUUCUCUUGCAUACACAACCUGAUUUGAGUACAUGAAAUAUAGGUGUAAAUCUGACAUGACCCACCCCGAAUUUCACCCUGAAACCUGGAGUAAGUCGUGCGGGGACCACCUCCAAGGAAAAUUUACUGAAAAGCUUGAGAAAAUCUCCCUUGAAAAUGGACAACCCAAACUUGAAAAUUCCAAAUUACACUCUUAAUACAACACUUCCAAACAUCACAUAAUUAUCCUUUAGAAAUUCUAAACAUAAAAUACAAUAAUCCCAAAGUAUUCAGAGCUACUAGACACUAGCGGAAGCAAGAAAACACGAGUAGGUUAAACAUGUAACCUACUGAUGAAAACUGGCGGAAAUACGGGUGACUAUGCCUCGCCUCCUACUAGAUCCAACCCGAACUCUGCAGACUGGGCAAUUUAAAACGAAGGGCCCAGGGGGAAACAUUUAAUAACGUUAGAGUAAGUGGACAAAAAUAAAAUAAUAAAUAAGAUAUUUAUAUUUCCCCAAAUUAAUUUCUAAGAAAAAAAAAUCGAAUGCAUGCCGCAAGCGAUAAAACUUUUAUCUCAUAAAAUAUCGAGCCUCUCAGACUAUAUGAUAUAUGUAUGUAUUUACACUCGUCCAUACUCCCUAUAUAAAUUCAUGGGUCUAUAUAGGGCUACUACGCUCGCGUCCAACGCUCACGUCACGUCUUAAUGCGGUGCUACACUACACCAUUAAGGUGGACAGAUGGGUGUAUAAAUAUGUGUCCAUACCCCCUACAUGAAUUAAACACUCAUAUAGGGCUACUACGCUCACGUCCAACGCUCACGUUACACCAUAAUGCGGCUAUAUGCUACGCCAUUAAGGUGGACAGACACAUAUGGCUAGCUAGCAUUUUAUAUACAUACUCUCUCAUAAAUACAUAUUUAUAUCCACCGAAAAUCCCAUUUUCGGUAACUCUCCAAGAGAAAUAAAAUUCGUCAAAUUAAAAUGACGUCAAAAUAUUCUGCAACAAUUAUUGUUCAACCAUGAACUCUAGCAUGCAUUUUAUUUAAAACAAAAGUCCACUCACAAAUUAGGCCUAAGCUUGAUGUCGAUCUGGGGCCUCAUCUGCUCAAGCCUCCUUACAUCCUGUUCCAAAUAUAAUAUUAAUUUCCCAACUAACAAUCCAAUAUUUAAUCAAAAUAGACAAAAUUACCCGAGAGCCAUAAAUACGCUCAUCAUUGCCUAACUUCGAUAUUCUUAAAUCGGAACGAUCCGAACUUAAAUAUCAUUCUCGACAGUCGUAAAUACAACCUCCCCAAAAAUACGACUUAAAUCCUACGGCCGGAUUCUACAUUAAUUAACCGCCAAAAAUACCAAACUUCGGAAAUUCACAAACCUAUCCAAAUCUCAUCCAAAAAUUCCAUAAAUCACAUCAAUAUAAUCCCCUUAAUAUUCCACAUUUAAAACCCUAAAAAUCUCCCAAACCGCGGCGGCGCCGGCGCCGGCCGGAGGCCGAUUCCGGCGACCUCCGAUUCCUAUGAAAUUUUGACAGAAUAAUCCUCUCAUCAUGCUCUACAACUUUCCUAACUAGCACAAACACUAAUUCCAAGCCUAACUAGGGUAAUCGACUAAAAACAUCAAAAACACCAUAAAACUUCCACCUUAAAUUUCUCCUUACCUAGCUCAAGAGGGAGUGAGUCCUUUUAGGGCAAGGCUGCUGGGUUAGAGACCUACAAAACCAUACCAAGCUUGCCCGGAUUGGUGGCCGGAGGAGGGAGUUCCGGCGAUGGAGGACUUUGGGCAGCCCGAGGUUCUAGGUUGGAGAACUCCUUCACGGCGGCGCUAGGGCAGCCUUCACCGGCCUAGAAUGGAAGCUGGGUCGGAGGGCAACCGAACGGGACCGGAGCGGCGGCCUACUGUGGCCGGACGGCGGCGAGCUGAGCGGAGGAAACCGGCGGGGGAGAGAGAGCUCGGGAGGGAGAGAGAGAGAAGAGAAAGAAAAGAGAGAAGAAGAAAUAGGCUUGGGCCUCCUACCCGGUCCAAGUCCUAUAUACAACCCAAUUCCAAAAAUAAAACACCCCGAAAAAAUAAUACCCGAAUAAAAAUUACAUUUUACUAGCUAAAAUUUACCAUUUUUACCGUCGUCAUAUUUUCUUCCACGAAUAAUUUUCCGAAAUUAAUCGUCCCUUAAAACACCUCUAGGGACCAAUUAAACUAUUACCUCAAUGACGGAGACGGUAAAAUUCUUAUUAUAAUCAAGCUAGUAAAUAAGGUAAAAAUAUAAGGGUCGGGAUGUGACAAAAUCUUUGUGUAGAAUGUUGUAUAUGUAUCAACGAUUCAGUGCCAUGAAAACCCUGAUUACUAUUAGAAGGCUAGCUGACCAAAACCACAAAAAAGUUGGCAAACCAUCACACACACAAGACUGCAAUUCCUAGAAGAAAUCGAGCCGCAAUGGGAAACAAGGACUAUGACAUGAUAAAGUAAUUUGAGGUGCAUAUGGAAGACCAAAUGAUGAAUUGACAAUUGAGGAACCAAACCCUAAUAAACCCACAUCAGCAAGGUUGUUCUCGUUCAUUGUAACUCUGGUUUGAUUCACAAACUAAAAAGACAUGGCGAUGUAUGAAUGAAUUCUCAUAUCAAUCAUAUGAUGAUGCGGUUCUCGUUGAGAUAAUUAUAAUGUGACUUUACUUUGAGAGCUCAUGUAUAAAUAUAUUUUAUGAUAACAUUCAUGGAUUUAUUGAAAGGAAAGGAAGAAAGAAGAAGACUGAAAAGAAAGAAAACGCAGAGAACCGAAUGGACUACAUUUUGAAUAUUCUGAUACAAUCAACACAGAACAACUAUCCUCUAUAAAGGAGAAUGCAUAUGAUGAUAGAAUUCUAAAAUACCCUUCUAAAUAUACAUGCCUAUAUUCCUAACACUCCCCCUCAACCAUAUGCUUGGGCAUCAAGCAUAAUGGUUGCAAUACAUCAUAGCAGUAGGACUGGUUCUCCUUCAAUGGCCAACAUAAGCAACAUCACUCAAGGCAUUCCAGCAAUAGUAUCAUAAGCUUCAAUGAGAAUGUAAAUCGACCCCCAUGAUCAAUGCAUAUAGUGCUAUUAGAACUUAUAACUCCAUUAAGCACAAUCAAAUAUUGACCACCUUGAGUACCUUCAGUUCUCCAAAAGAAUUAUAAUGCUCAGAGAGAGGCCAAAGCCUUGUAGAAACUGAAAGGGGACCAAUCUGAGAAGGAGCACUACUAAAACUUUGUUCUUGGCAAUCAACAGAUGUAGAGAAAGCCCUGCCACAACAAUCAUAUUCAUGCACACACAAUGUAUGGAACUAUUGCAAAGAACAUUCCAGCAAAUCCAUUAUACUUGAAUCAUGAGAUUAAUGAUCAGAAGAAGGCAUUUCCAGGAGCUACGUUUUCAUCAAUCACUCCUAGGAAUCCAACUUGUUUCUUACUUUCUCUAUUGUUUCUCGAGCCAUCUGUACUUGUGCUUUGGCUACAGCAGAAAAAUGAACUAUGUGCAGGCUGCUUCUGAAUUUUCAUUGAUCUGUAGAUUAGGACAUAUAUUUGUACAGCCACGAAGCCAAACCACAAAACCCGUCAACACAAUUAGUGUCCAAUAACUGAUGAUUACUCCUUGUAGCCAUUGUACUCCGUCUGUGAUGUCCCAUCUUCAACACAAAUAGUGUUCAAUCAAGAUUUUCUAGCUCUAAACCUCAAAUAAGAAAGUCUAGAGCAGAUUUAAGAGACGAAGAAAUGAUUUGUUUCUGAAUUACUCACAACAUGAAAUCUGCUAGCUCAAAUACUUCUGCAUUAAAUGCCAAACUUCUAAGCUGCUGUCUAAUGUGUCUCCAUCCACUACCCAAUUUGAACUUUGUUGUGACUCACUGCAAUAUUUUCUUCAAAGAUUGUUAUACAGAGACCACCACCUCUAUUACAAUUCUACAAACAUGAACGAAG
rnacentral:lncRNA from 1 species